AAAUAAAAAAUUCAUAUGUUUUCAUAUUCAUACCUUUUAUUCAGUAAUUAGUAUGAAUUAUUUCACUUUAAAUAAAAUAAUUUGCAUUUACUUAUAUUUUGAUUAUAUUUACUAAGUAUAUUUAUUUAUUUAAAAUAUCGUUCAAUUUUGAUAUUGGACGUGCAUCACACUGGCGUGUGCACUAUUGCAAUAAUAAAGAGGAGAGAAAACAAAUCAGAUUGAAACUUUUAACUUUGGUAAUUUUCUAUCUAAGAUCUUUUUCUAUCUUAUUAUAUAUCAAAAUAAAGCUCUUUUCAUGAUCUUUAAUUUGAUAUAUAUCUUGUAUAUUUUAUCAUUGGUCAAAUUGUACAAGAUUUUAAAAUAGAAAUAAAGAAAGAAAGAGAAAAAAAAGAGAGAGAAAAAUAAAUUUAAAAAUUGUAAUUAAACGUAAGUCUCCUAAAAUAUAGCUUAAAUUUCUCUUUAAUAACUAAAUUUUAGAUUAUAGCGGUAAAUUAUUAUCAUUGAAACUCUAUUUUCAUAUAUAGUAUAGAUAUAGAUUAUGAUUUCUUAACCUGUGUUUUUUUUUUCUUCGUCCUUUUACCUUUUUGUGUCAGUUUAUAUUAAAAGGGGAUGCAACAAAUACGUUUGUAUUUUGGCGGUUUAAGAAAAUUUUUUUGUUUCUUCUAUCAAAGGUUAAGAAAAAAGAUUGACAUAUCCACCGCCAAAAUACGAAUCAAAUCUUACAAACUGUUAUUUGAAGCUCCCACUUUGUUUGGAUUCGAUUCCUGCGUAAUAAUCAACUCAACAAAACUACAUAUCCAUGGAAUCUACUCAAGUGAGCGGUGGGAGAGAUAAAUACCAGUUCAGCAGUGUGAAGCAGGUCAUGGUGCCCUCUAGAGCUCAAGGCUCUGUAGAUGACGUCUGACUCUUUGAAGGCAUCUGCUUCUAUGACAACUGCAUUCCCAGAUGCUCCAGCCCAGAAUGGUCUAUGUUAAGAGGAGAAUGGCUUAGCUUACUCUUUGAGAAUGUCCUUGAGCACAGUACUCUUCCCAGCCCCCAUCCCACCACCCAUGAGGAGGAGGACAGGGCUUCUGUCACUAUGAGCCAUUGGUACCAUCACGUUCGUGCACUGUGAAUCAUCGUUUGUUACAAGUCCAAUAGCUUUCAUCUCUUCCACUAAUGUGGUAAACACUCUCGCCACCUUCAGAUUCUUUGUCACCCUCUCAACUCUCUGUUCUCUUUAUUGCACAAAGCAGGGAAAAGCAAAUUAGUAAAUUUACUAGAAAAAUUUAUUAUUGUUAUAUAUAAAUUCCUAUGGAAUUCAGUUUCUCUAAAUUUAUGUAAUGACGAUGUAGUGAUCUACCUGGUUGCUUGCAUGACGAUGUUCUUGAGCCUCCUUCUUGGCUCUUCGGCACCGAGCACCUGAAAUUAUACAUGUUUUAACAGUUUUUUUUUCUAGGAAAUACGAUGCCUGGUUGGAUUGAAAAGAAACAUGAUAUUGACAUGCCUGACUGAGCAUAUAUGAUGUAUGUCUCCAGUGGAAUGCAAAGUAGCUGAGGAUGCAUCUCUCAAAUUCUUCCACCAGUUUGAUGAAGAGAGAAUCACAAUCAGGUUCACACGCAAAAAAGGCGUACAUGUCUUCUUCGCAUCCUUCAGCUUUUUUAAUGUAUUCGGAGGCCAACUUGCACAAAUGUGGGCAUUCUCUUCUGUCUUUGAAUCCCAUCUGCCUGGCUGCUCCACACACAUUAUGUGUGAGAAUCAAUAAGAUUCAUCUAAGAAAAUCUUGAUUUCUCACAUAUAUAUUUCAGACACACAUAUACAUGAUCUUGAUCAUACUACAUCUAAAAUAUGGAAACAGUGCGUGGCAGACGCGUGUGUGGGGUUGUAGAUUGAACCAUACAAAUGUGAUCAAAGAUCUAAGGGAGGAGAUGAAAGAGAUUAUUACCUACAUAGUGAGAGAACUUCUCAAUGCUCAAAACCUGGCCGGUGUCGGAGAUUCUCUUCCUAGGUAUGAUCUUUUUGUCGCGGAAUUUCUUGAUGCGGUAUUGCAGCGCCGCUGCUAUGAUUAGCCCCACAGAGGAGGCCACGAGGAGCUGCGUGUACGUUGGCUUUGCGCUGCUGUUCAUCUCAUCUGGAGGAGAAUCAAACAUAAUCAUUUAUUAUCAAAAUUCCUUCGGGGAAGCUAUUUGUUUUACGUUAUGUAAAAUGUUUACUUUGCAUGGCUACGGAAGGACAAGAAAGUGUAUUUUUCCUGUGUUUGUCUGUGUGUAUCUGUGUGUGUUUUUUUUUGUUCCUAGGAAUCUGGAGACGGAUGUUCGUGAAUGUUUCAUUUCUUUGUAUGUCAGUCAAUUUGGAUCAUCAAUUAUGAACAACGUUCUGUUUUAUUUUGCA